rnacentral:lncRNA from 1 species
GUUAGCAAAAAUAUUCCUCCCUUGUGUUUGAGCACUCUCUUCUUCUUCAAUCAUUCCUUGUUUAAGCUCUCUCUCUUUUUCACUCACUUCAUUCACAUUUUCUUUUGUUUCUCUCUCGCUUUCCUUUUCGCCUUUUUCAUUUUCAUUUUCUUCUUUUUCACUUUUAUUUUUCCCUUCUCCUUUUUCUUUUUCCUCACUUGUUUUAACAACAAAAUUUUUCAGUUUGAUUUGGUCCUCAUGGACUUGUUUUGGAGUGAGCGGCACUAAGGUGACUUUCCUUCCUUGAUGCUUGAAAGAAUACCUAUUGGUACGACCAUCGUGGGUGACCUUUCGAU